CUGAGUGUAAAAACUCCCAAACCCAUUGUGAACAUACCACUGUUGCUUCGGCGGAUACGCCCCGGGCGCGCUCUUCACAGGGCGUGCCCCGGAACCAGGCGCCCGCCGGGGGACCGAAACUCUUGUUUUCUUAGGAUCUCUGAGUGUGAUUAUUAAAUAAAUCA
rnacentral:misc_RNA from 1 species